GCUCCUUUGGUUUUAGAUAAUAACCCCAAAAAUUCCACUGUGACUCUGCAAAUAAUGCCCUGUUUCUCUGUGCCUCUAACUUAGACAGCAUUUUAAUUUGGGAUUCUUUUUCUCCCUUAAUGGAGGUAACCAGUCGGGGAGAGGCACAUUUGGAGCUGAAUGCAUUUCGAAGGAAGCAUGAUUGUGCACUAGUCAUAUCUGGGGACUCUCUGGAGGUUUGUCUAAAGUACUACGAGCAUGAAUUUGUGGAGCUGGCCUGCCAGUGCCCCGCCGUGGUGUGCUGCCGCUGCUCGCCCACCCAGAAGGCCCGCAUUGUGACACUGCUGCAGCAGCACACAGGGAGACGCACCUGCGCCGUCGGUGAUGGAGGAAAUGAUGUCAGCAUGAUUCAGGCAGCAGACUGUGGGAUUGGGAUUGAGGGAAAGG
rnacentral:sRNA from 1 species